CCUGGCAUGGAAGCUCAUCUGAAGAUCGUCUGUCAGGGAAGUCCGGUCUUACUGGGAGCUUGGUAGGAGGUCGGCCGACGAUGGACUUCGGAUAGCGCUGGAGAGACUCGCCUGCUGGAGGAGUAUGGGUGAUCUAGGGGCGAUCGGCCGUUGUAGAAAUUCAGUUGCUGGAGCCCGUUCAUUGCGAGAGCUCAUCUGGGAUCCAUCCGUUGUGGAAGCUCGGAUGGAGUCCGAUUCUCAUGGGAGGCCGAAAGGAGGCCGCUUAUUGUUGGAGCUCAGUUGAAGAUCAGUUGUCAUAGGAGCUCGGAGUAACAACCUGGUCGGUAGAUCCUGUCUCCUGGUAG
rnacentral:lncRNA from 1 species